rnacentral:rRNA from 1 species
GAUGAACGCUGGCGGCGUGCUUAACACAUGCAAGUCGAACGGGAAAUAUUUCAUUGAGCCUUCGGUGGAUUUGAUUUAUUUCUAGUGGCGGACGGGUGAGUAACGCGUGGGUAACCUGCCUUAUACAGGGGGAUAACAGUCAGAAAUGGCUGCUAAUACCGCAUAAGCGCACAGAGCUGCAUGGCUCAGUGUGAAAAACUCCGGUGGUAUAAGAUGGACCCGCGUUGGAUUAGCUAGUUGGUGGGGUAACGGCCCACCAAGGCGACGAUCCAUAGCCGGCCGGAGAGGGUGAACCGCCACAUUGGGACUGAGACACGGCCCAGACUCCUACGGGAGGCAGCAGAGGGGAAUAUAGCACAAUGGGGGAAACCCUGAUGCAGCGACGCCGCGUGAAGGAAGAAGUAUCUCGGUAUGUAAACUUCUAUCAGCAGGGAAGAUAGUGACGGUACCUGACUAAGAAGCCCCGGCUAACUACGUG